rnacentral:tRNA from 1 species
GCGCGCAUGGCUCAGUUGGCUAGAGCAUUGCCUUCACAUGGCAGGGAUCGCUGGUUCAAGUCCAGCUGCGCGCA